rnacentral:ncRNA from 1 species
GUGAUGUAUGAAAGGUGAAAACAUCAGUACUCCCGUUAACAAAGAUGGAAGAGACCUUUGGGCCUUACAACAAGCAUAAGGUUAAGGCAUUCUCACCUGCUUGGUGGCAUCUAACCACAGCCGGAA